rnacentral:rRNA from 1 species
UACGGAGGGUGCAAGCGUUAUCCGGAAUCACUGGGUUUAAAGGGUGCGUAGGCGGUCAGAUAAGUCAGUCGUGAAAUUCCUCGGCUUAACCGGGUGGACUGCGAUUGAUACUGUUUGACUUAAAUGAGGUUGAGGUAGGCGGAAUGUGGCAUGUAGCGGUGAAAUGCUUAGAUAUGCCAUAGAACACCGAUUGCGAAGGCAGCUUGCUGGGCCUUCAUUGACGCUGAGGCACGAAAGCGUGGGGAGCAAACAGG